GACGAACGCUGGCGGCGUGCCUAACACAUGCAAGUCGAACGGGGUUGUUCCUUCGGGGACAACUUAGUGGCGAACGGGUGAGUAACGCGUGAGGAACCUGCCUUUCAGUGGGGGACAACAGUUGGAAACGACUGCUAAUACCGCAUAAUGUUAUUGAGUGGCAUCACUUGAUAACCAAAGCUUUAUGUGCUGAAAGAUGGCCUCGCGUCUGAUUAGAUAGUUGGUGAGGUAACGGCUCACCAAGUCGACGAUCAGUAGCCGGACUGAGAGGUUGAACGGCCACAUUGGGACUGAGACACGGCCCAGACUCCUACGGGAGGCAGCAGUGGGGGGAUAUUGCACAAUGGGGGAAACCCUGAUGCAGCAACGCCGCGUGAAGGAAGAAAGGGUCUUUCGGAUUGUAAACUUCUGUUUUUAGUGAAGAAACAAAUGACGGUAGCUAAAGAGGAAGCCA
rnacentral:rRNA from 1 species